GAGACAGUUCGGUCCCUAUCUGCCGUGGGCGCUGGAGAAUUGAGGGGGGCUGCUCCUAGUACGAGAGGACCGGAGUGGACGCAUCACUGGUGUUCGGGUUGUCAUGCCAAUGGCACUGCCCGGUAGCUAAAUGCGGAAGAGAUAAGUGCUGAAAGCAUCUAAGCACGAAACUUGCCCCGAGAUGAGUUCUCCCUGAGACUAUAAGUCUCCUGAAGGAACGUUGAAGACGACGACGUUGAUAGGCCGGGUGUGUAAGCGCAGCGAUGCGUUGAGCUAACCGGUACUAAUGAACCGUGAGGCUUAACCUU
rnacentral:rRNA from 3 species